GCCAGUUUGUGCAGACCUGAGAUAGAAGUGAUGCAAGUGACCUGCAGGAUUCACUGGUGCCCCACAGAGCUGCACAAGCUGGCCCAGGAUUUGGAGAAGCAGAAGAUUCGACAAGACCAAUAAGGGCUGUGGACUCAGCUGCUGUUUCACGCUCACAAGGUGGCCAGGAGACCAGCAAUUGUGUGCUUGAGCCCACAUCAACCUUCAGAGCAUAGAAAUGGCUGCUAUUUCACUUCCACUUCCAAAUCUCAUGAACUCCUCUUAUGGCCAACCCUAGCCUAGAACAGUACAAGAAAGGGAAUUCUGAAAAUUCCUUAGUAUUUCUGGUUAAAGUGAUGUACAUAGGCACCAAACUCACGUAAGGAUAGCCUCUCCCAUAGGAAUGUGGCCAAGCUUACACAAGUGUACAGCAGGGUUGGAGGUCUCCCUGGCCCCUUCAGUUCUACUGCUCAUGUCUUUCCCUGCCUUUAGGGCUAGCAGCAAAUGAUGCAAGUGUGUGCUGGUGUGGGUAAAAAUCCAGGGCUCCAGGCGGAGGGCUGUCUUGCUAUAGACACAAAUCUCUUUGAGGAUAGACUUGUAUUCCCAGCAAAAACCUGGUCCCUGCGGGAAGGGAAUGGAGCCAAGAAUGCAUAUAGACAUCUGAGCGUCUCCAAACGUGGCUGAGAGCAGGGGUUAUUGGAAUGUACUUCUUUUUUUUUUUUUUUUUUUUGAGACAGAGUCUUGCACUGUUACCCGGGCUGGAGUGCAAUGGCACAAUCUUGGCUCACUGCAACCUCCACUUCCUGUGUUCAAGCAAUUCUCCUGCCUCAGCCUCCCAAGUAGCUGGGAUUACAGGUGCCUACCAUUAUGUCCAGCUAACUUUUUGUAUUUUUAGUGGAGACGGGGUUUCACUGUGUUGGCCAGGCUGGUCUCAAACUCCUGACCUCAUAAUCUGCCCACCUUGGCCUCCCAAAGUGCUGGGAUUACAGGCAUCAGCCACCAUUCCCGGCCAGGGAUGCACUUCUUACAGGCAGCAGAAAUAGCCCCUCUCUACCCCAAACUCCGUUUAGAAUUUGAGUUCACCACAGAUUAUGUAUAAAAAUCAACAUUAACAAUAAUGAUAACUAAUAUUUUGAUAGUGAUUAGUAUUUGCCAGGCACUAUUACAAAUAUUUUAUAUACACACCACUUUAACUCAUGUAACAAAUCCAUCAGCACUAAUGGACUAGGCCCUGCUUGGUUAAAAAAAGAAAAGGUGACAACCACAGACUAAUACUAUUUAGGUAUAAGUUACCACAGAUGAUUUCAAGAUUUGACAUUACGUUUUUUAAAAACUUUCAUCUUAUCAAGAGCUAUUUUCAUGGAAAUGGAGUUUCACUGAACAAGAAUAUUGUAAUCUGCCAACAAGGUCGAAGUACCCUAAGCUUCUCCCGUCAAGAGACGGAGUCUAUUUCUCACCCCUUGAGUCUGGGCUGGCCUGUGACUUGCUUUGGAAUGCCAUGCAAGUGACAGCUCACCAGUUUUGAGCAUAGCCCUCAAGAGACUUUAUAGCUUCAGUUCUCUCUUAAAAUCUAGUUUUGCCACAUGGGACAAGCCUAAAAGAAAAGACACUACAUGGAGAGAGGCCCCAGAUCAUCCUGGCUGAGGCCCCAGACAAGUGAGUGUGUCCAGGGAACAACAGCCAAGCUUAGCCCAGACUGAAAGGACCUCCCAGCUAAGCCCAGAAUCAGG
rnacentral:lncRNA from 10 species